GUGCUUGCUUCAGCAGCACAUACACUAAAAUUGGAAUGAUGCAGAGAAGAUUAGCAUGGCCCUUGCACAAAGAAAACACGAAAAUUCGUGAAGUGUUCCAUAUUUUU
ensembl:snRNA U6 U6 spliceosomal RNA